rnacentral:rRNA from 1 species
UACAGAGGCCACGAGCGUUAGGCGGAAUCACUGGGCUUAAAGCGUGUGUAGGUGGAUGGGUAAGUACCUUGUGAAAUCCCACAGCUCAACUGUGGAACUGCUUGGUAUACUGCCUGUCUUGAGGCACUCAGGGGCGAGCGGAACAGAUGGUGGAGCGGUGAAAUGCGUAGAUAUCAGGAGGAACACCGGUGGCGAAGGCGGCUCUCUGGACGGUGACUGACGCUGAGACGCGAAAGCGUGGGGAGCAAACAGG